UUUUUUUUUUAAUAGAGAAGCAUUUAGAUAGAAAGGAGACACUGAGCUGUUGUUAAGCAAGCAAGUAAAAUCAUGUCAGUCCUGUAACUGUGCCUUUGCCUUCCCUUUCUUCUUAUUCUGUAUAAAGGCAGCCUAUAAAAAGGGUUUCCCUACAGCAUUUGCCUUACCUUAAAGCCUUUUUUAAGACCUCAGCCAGGAGGGUUACUUGAGCAGCUGUUUCAGCUUGAAAAUGAAGCACGGGGGCACACCAAAUGUGUAGGUGACUUACUGUUCUUCAGGUGGUCCUGAAAGAAACCUGACUGAUCACAGUGGGAACUUGGAAUAGUGAGUCCUCUCAGAAUACUUGCUCCCCGAGCCCAGUCGGACACCACCAAUGCAACAAAGCCUGUCUGCUGUGGUGGCACACACAAUACAUCGAGAUGCACUUGAGACCCUCAGGCUGUGGAUGUCAACAGGUUCCCACACAGCAAAAGUAAAGUUCAGCCUGAGCAGUAACUGUAAUCUGUGAAAGCUAUUUGGCUUGGCACUGUAUUUAUUACUUUCUUCAUACUGCUGGUUUCUCAGCAUUUCCAGUGUUUGCUCUUCCACUCAGCUGUUGUACCUCCCUUCACAGAAAACUGAGCUCCUGUUUGUGUGGCAAGCAUAUUUGAAUGAUUGUCUUCAGAGUCCCCAGCUGUAGUUUUUCACCUCCUACAUACCUGUGUUAUAAUGACUCUAUUGAAGUAGAGAGUGUAUCUGUGUAACAAAUACAAGACAAGGAGCAAGGGGCAGAAACUGAUGCACAGGAAGUUCCACCAGAUUAUAAGGAAGAACUUGUCCCUGUGCGAGUGACCGAGCACUGGAGCAGAUUGCACAGAGAGGGUGUGGAGUCUCCCUCACUGGAGAUUCUCAAGAACCGUCUGGACACGAUCCUGUGGAUCCAGGAUGACCCUGCUUGAGCAGGGUUGGACCAGAUGUUCCACUGUGGUCCCUUCCAACCUGACCUGUUCUGCGAUUCUGUGAAGUAGAAACAAACAAAAAAAAAAACAA